rnacentral:rRNA from 1 species
GACGAACCGUGCGAACGUUGUUCGGAAUCACUGGGCUUAAAGGGCGCGUAGGCGGGUCAGCAAGUCCGGGGUGAAAUCUUUCGGCUCAACCGGGGAAGUGCACUCGAAACUGCAAGGCUAGAGUCUCGGAGAGGAUCGUGGAAUUCUCGGUGUAGAGGUGAAAUUCGUAGAUAUCGAGAGGAACACCGGUGGCGAAGGCGGCGAUCUGGACGAUGACUGACGCUGAGACGCGAAAGCGUGGGGAGCAAACAGG